CGCGGAGUAGUGUAGAGUAGCACAGGAGGCUCAUAAUCUCCUAGGCCAGGUGCGACUCCUGGCUCCGCAA
rnacentral:tRNA from 1 species